rfam:Aedes aegypti strain Liverpool supercont1.28 genomic scaffold, whole genome shotgun sequence.
UGCCCGACAAUUCUUAUCCCUACCUCCUCGCGGUACUGGCCGAGGUACGAGUAAGCUUGAAGAAGAUCGGGUAACCAACCCCCGGUGGGAACUUUGGUCCUAUGCUGACAGGGAAGG